AUCCGGGUUGCGGACAGUGUCUGGUGGGUAGUUUGACUGGGGCGGUCUCCUCCCAAAGAGUAACGGAGGAGCACGAAGGUUAGCUAAUCCUGGUCGGACAUCAGGAGGUUAGUGCAAUGGCAUAAGCUAGCUUGACUGCGAGAGUGACGGCUCGAGCAGGUGCGAAAGCAGGUCAUAGUGAUCCGGUGGUUCUGAAUGGAAGGGCCAUCGCUCAACGGAUAAAAGGUACUCCGGGGAUAACAGGCUGAUACCGCCCAAGAGUUCAUAUCGACGGCGGUGUUUGGCACCUCGAUGUCGGCUCAUCACAUCCUGGGGCUGAAGUAGGUCCCAAGGGUAUGGCUGUUCGCCAUUUAAAGUGGUACGCGAGCUGGGUUUAGAACGUCGUGAGACAGUUCGGUCCCUAUCUGCCGUGGGCGCUGGAGAAUUGAGGGGGGCUGCUCCUAGUACGAGAGGACCGGAGUGGACGCAUCACUGGUGUUCGGGUUGUCAUGCCAAUGGCACUGCCCGGUAGCUAAAUGCGGAAAAGAUAAGUGCUGAAAGCAUCUAAGCACGAAACUUGCCCCGAGAUGAGUUCUCCCUGAGACUUUAAGUCUCCUGAAGGAACGUUGAAGACGACGACGUUGAUAGGUCGGGUGUGUAAGCGCAGCGAUGCGUUGAGCUAACCGAUACUAAUGAACCGUGAGGCUUAACCUUACAACGCCGAAG
rnacentral:rRNA from 2 species